CCUCCUUAUUACCCAUCUCGGAUCCCUCCCCCAAUGCAAAAAACUCUUAUACUUUCAUAGCCUCUUUCUGUCUCUCUUCCCUCUAUAAUUAAAGCAGAGAGAGAGAGCUUUAUCUUCUCAUACUCUUUCUUUUAAUUCUUGUAUCUUAUUCUUGGUUUUCUUUUCAUGGCUCUUCUUACUUUCUUAUCAGAGCAAUCAGAGCAGGGAAAACAGCUUUCCAAACGCAAGCGCAAGCUGCAAAAGCAAAAGCAACCCUCGUCAUGGGACCAAAUCAAGAACCUACUCACCUGCAAGCAGGUCGAAGGAUCAGGCGUACAUGACCCAUCGAAGAACCCUAACGGAUACUCAAAGCUGGGUUCUUCCUGCAGCUCUAUAUGCAGUUUCAGAGACGUUGUUCAUGGCAACACAAGGGUUGUUCACAGAGCUGAUAACUCACCCGAAAGUAGCACAGUAGGUCAAGAAACUGGACUGCUGAGUCGAAAAGCAGCUAAUGGGUCAUCAACUAGGUCGUUGGGGAGUUCAGGGAGAUCCAGCGGUGGCGCAACCUACACUUCAUCUUCAAGAGGCAUACAAUUCAGGAAGCUUUCUGGUUGUUAUGAAUGUCACAUGAUCGUUGACCCUAGCAGGUAUUUGUAUAAUUGUAACACGUUUUCUUCCAUAUCUAUCUUUUUUCCUUUCAGUUUCGCUUUAAUGAUAAAGAAAAGAGAAGGCUAAAUUCUUUAGAGCUAAAUAUUCAGGUACCCAUCUCCAAGGACUACAAUAUGCGCAUGCUCCCAGUGUGGAGAGAUCUUCCCCAAGUCUGAAAGCUUAGAGCUUCAUCAAAAAGUUCGCCAUGCCGGUAAUUAAAUCCAGCUUCUUUCAAUAUAAUUUUCUUCUUCCACUCAGUGGCGAGGGUUAGUUUGAGGGGGAAUCGCAAAUAUAAAUAAUUUAUUUGAUAAACUAGUAUUUCCCAAUUUUUACAAUAUCAUUUCUGCCAAUCAUAUAGCAGACCGCUUUGUACGCUAGGCUAGGGACCAUUUAGUACCUGAAUACCUGUUCCCAAUUACAGCUGUCCUUCGAUGACCAAAAUUUAAUGGCCUGACGUGGCGUUUUGCUAUAGAAGCAACAGUGUCACAGCCUGUAACUCUAAAGCUGAUACCACGAGUGACCAUACGGACAAGUAUAGAAGUAAAUAUUUCCAUAAAUAAACAUUUUUUAAUUCUGAAAUUUUUGUUCCAAUGGUGCAGUAUCAGAGCUGGGCCCAGAGGAUUCCAGUAGAAACAUUGUGGAGAUCAUCUUCAAAUCAAGCUGGCUCAAGAAAGAUAACUCCAUCUGUAAGAUCGAACGGAUAUUAAAAGUUCACAACACACAACGCACCAUUCAACGGUUCGAGGACUCCAGAGAUGUAGUCAAGACUCGUGCUCUCAAUAGCACUAAAAAAAACCCCAGGUGUGCAGCUGAUGGUAACGAGCUGCUGCGAUUCUACUGUACGAGUCUAACGUGCUCGUUGGGCGCUCGCGGCUCGUCGAACUUGUGCGGCUCGAUCCCAGGUUGCGGUGUGUGCACCAUCAUCAGGCACGGGUUUGAAGGCAAGGAGUGCAAAGGGGUACGCACCACGGCGAGUAGCGGCAGGGCCCACGACUCCCUCAUUGGUUGUACGGAUGGACGGAGGGCCAUGCUGGUGUGCCGCGUGAUUGCUGGGAGAGUGAAGCGCGUGGAGGAUGAUACGGCGCCGCCAGAGGAGGAUGCCGCGUCAACUGGUGGCUCAUACGAUUCUGUAGCCGGGUACGCCGGAAUUUACUCCAAUCUCGAGGAGUUGUUUGUUUUCAAUCCAAAGGCUAUCCUUCCUUGUUUCGUUGUCAUUUACAGUGCUCUCGAGUCUUGAUUACUAUAGUUUGUACCAGUAGCCAUCAAUAUCAAUGGCUAGCGCACGGCACGACCGUGCUCAGUGCUCACCUCACCUAUCAGUGUGCAUAUAAUAAAGUUCAAUUUGGUUUUACGGGGAUUUUAGCACAGUUGCACUUGAGUUGGAUUAAAGUAGAAAAUUGUACUGAACUGAAAACAUAUGCUUAAACAAUUGGGUAAAGUUGGC
rnacentral:misc_RNA from 1 species